rnacentral:lncRNA from 10 species
CCCAAGCCCACACAUUAUUAUGCUGGCUUCUUAAAAUAAGUUAUGAGACGGGAAAUAGGGCACCCACAAAUAUAUAUAUAUAUAAUUAUAUAUAAUAUAAUAUAUAUUAUAUAUAUAAUAUAUUUAAUAUAUUAUAUAUAUAUAUUUUAUAUAUAUAUAUAUAUAUAUAUAUAUAUAUAUAUAUAUAUAUAUAUAAUUUGGGAAUUUGGGAAUAAACUGAAUCCCAAUUCACACUGGGACUACAACAGCUGCCACCAUGCCUGGCUAAUUUUUUGUAUUUGUAGUAGAGACAGGGUUUCACUGUAUUGGCCAGGAUGGUCUUCAUCUCCUCACCUUGUGAUCCUCUUGCCUUGGCCUCCCAAAGUGCUGGGAUUACAGGCCUGAGUCAAGAUACAUAUUUUUUAAAUGAAGAAAAAUUUCAAAGAUACUCUGCUUGGUACAAUAAUCAAAUAUAUAAAUUGAGGAAUAAAACAUAAUCAUGAAACAUAUUUAUAACU